AACGAACGCUGGCGGCAUGCCUAACACAUGCAAGUCGAACGAGACCUUCGGGUCUAGUGGCGCACGGGUGCGUAACGCGUGGGAACCUGCCCUUAGGUUCGGAAUAACUCCCCGAAAGGGGUGCUAAUACCGGAUAAUGUCUUCGGACCAAAGAUUUAUCGCCUUUGGAUGGGCCCGCGUUGGAUUAGCUAGUUGGUAGGGUAAAAGCCUACCAAGGCGACGAUCCAUAGCUGGUCUGAGAGGAUGAUCAGCCACACUGGGACUGAGGCACGGCCCAGACUCCUACGGGAGGCAGCAGUGGGGAAUAUUGGACAAUGGACGAAAGCCUGAUCCAGCAAUGCCGCGUGAGUGAUGAAGGCCUUAGGGUUGUAAAGCUCUUUUACCCGGGAUGAUAAUGACAGUACCGGGAGAAUAAGCUCCGGCUAACUCCGUG
rnacentral:rRNA from 1 species